AGGUGCAGAGGAACCAGAAAGACCGGUCACAUUUUUUGGCUUCUGAGAUCCUGAAAAGGCUCAGGUGAGUCAAUAGUUAAUGUUUUCUUCCUUAAAAGAGAAGGUGGAGCUCCCAGGAUGCUGGCUCUCAACAUGCCAUUCUUAUGCUGGUGCCCUGACAGACCGAGUGUGAAAGUGCCCAAAGGGAGGGGACUCCAUUUCUCAUUGGGUGUCCCUAGAGGGACAACCCCUUAGUUUCAAGACCUAGAAUCAGAUGACACAGCCAUCCACCCACCUGUCACUGGCCAGGAGAGAGAUCAGCACAGGAUGGUGAGCUCAGCCUUCCUGAAGCUCAGCCAAUGACAGGUUCCUGACAGGAAGGGCAAAGAGAAGAGCAGAAGCUGG